rnacentral:rRNA from 1 species
ACGGGGGGAGCAAGCGUUGUUCGGAUUUACUGGGCGUAAAGGGCGCGUAGGCGGCCACUGCAAGUCAGUUGUGAAAUCUCCGGGCUUAACCCGGAAAGGUCAACUGAUACUGCAGGGCUAGAGUGCAGAAGGGGCAACUGGAAUUCUCGGUGUAGCGGUGAAAUGCGUAGAUAUCGAGAGGAACACCUGCGGCGAAGGCGGGUUGCUGGGCCACACCUGACGCUGAGACGCGAAAGCUAGGGGAGCGAACGGGA